AACGAACGCUGGCGGCAGGCUUAACACAUGCAAGUCGAGCGCCCCGCAAGGGGAGCGGCAGACGGGUGAGUAACGCGUGGGAAUCUACCUUUUGCUACGGAAUAACGCAGGGAAACUUGUGCUAAUACCGUAUGUGUCCUUCGGGAGAAAGAUUUAUCGGCAAGAGAUGAGCCCGCGUUGGAUUAGCUAGUUGGUGGGGUAAAGGCCUACCAAGGCGACGAUCCAUAGCUGGUCUGAGAGGAUGAUCAGCCACAUUGGGACUGAGACACGGCCCAAACUCCUACGGGAGGCAGCAGUGGGGAAUAUUGGACAAUGGGCGCAAGCCUGAUCCAGCCAUGCCGCGUGAGUGAUGAAGGCCCUAGGGUUGUAAAGCUCUUUCACCGGUGAAGAUAAUGACGGUAACCGGAGAAGAAGCCCCGGCUAACUUCGUGCCAGCCGCCGCGGUAA
rnacentral:rRNA from 2 species